rnacentral:lncRNA from 1 species
GAGCAAGGAGGAGUCAACUUAAAACAUGGCUGACUGGGAGAAUCCCUCAACACUCAGAACAGAUUCUCUAGAGGACAAUUAUCCCCACACCCAAGGGUUCUUUUGAUGAUCGACAGUUGAGCUGGUUAUUCCUAUCAAGCUGAACAUUUAAGAUCACAAGCUUCUUGAAGACAGGAAUUGACUCACUUCUGUCUGUAUAACCCCUAUCCCUAAUGGAGAGUCAGGCAUAAAGUAGGUACUUAAUAAAUAUUUGUUGAUUGAUGAUUACGUUGUUGAU